rnacentral:ncRNA from 2 species
GGAUGAUUCCGACGCUGCGGUGUUCGGGAAGUCCGGUGCAAGACCGGCGCGGUUCUCGCCACUGUGAGCAGGUCCGACGACGGCUUCGGGAACCUCCCGGCCACUGGGCGCCGCACCCCGCGCGGGACGGCCCCGGGAAGGCGCCGUCGCCGGAAGUCCCUGCCGAGCCAGGAGACCGGCCGUAGCGCACACCACGAU